CAAACCUGGAGUAACAAAUAUGGCAAAAAAAGAGCCACCAGAGAAGCGAGCAGCAAUGAAAGGUGCAACAAGAUUAAAGAACAAAGAUAGAAAAGGAGACGAAACCAAAUCAACAAACCGUGGAGCCAUCCUCAAGCUAUGAAAAAGAGCAUAGAAAUCAGAUCACCAAAAACCAGAUCUUGAAAACCAUGACGAGCAGAGACUAUCGACGACAAGUCAACGAGAGGAAGACAACAUCAAAGACAACUGAACUCUG
rnacentral:lncRNA from 1 species